UAAAAUAAAUACAGCCCAUCUAUAUUUUCAACCCAAAAAUUCAGCACAAUUAAAUUAAAUACAACCCAUCUAUAUUUUCAACCCUAAAUUACAGCUCAAAUAUUCAUCCCCUCACUUUAAGGUUCAGCGCCGCGCCUUCUCUCUCGUUUCUUCUCCCAGUCGAAACAUUCCUCCUUUCCACAUGCGCCGCUGCCCGCGAGAAGCUUUCCAUCAUCUUCUCUCUCCCUUCGCCUCAUCCUCUGCCGGCGAAAAACCUGCAACUGUAUCACGGCAAGCCGCCGUCCAAAAGCCCUAGAUCCCUAAGCCACCAACUCCGCCCUCACAUCUAGGCAUUGGCGCAACUCAGUGGCGUCGCCACUCUCCUCGACGACGAUAAAUGCGCCACUGCACAGCCCGUAUCCAGUCGCCGCCGUACGGGUUUCAAACUACGGCGUCGCCCAAGCCCUAGCCUCCAGAUCUCGGCCUGCUCCCUCGCGCUACUGAUCCGAUUUCCCCUCUUGGGUGUUCUUUUUUGGGAGGAAGAGGAAGAAGAAGAGAGAGCGACCUUAUUGUUAAGGUCUGGAGCAGGCGUUUUUAUGUUGAUCCAAGAGAUAACCACUUUCAUGCUCUAUUGAUAGAUACAGAUCUUCAUCUUCAUCUGGAAAGAAAAUUUCAGAAAAAUAUCAGCCUCUUCAUGUAUAAAUUAGAAAUAAUUGUUGUAAUAAUCUCUUAGUAUCUCUAUUGUAACUGUGACUAAUAGUUAGCCAAAAGCAAAAAAAAAAAAAAAAAGUACUACAUAUAAACAUAAAAACAAAAAAAAAAGAAAUAGAAGAACUAAACUGCAAAAAAUGAGAGUACGACAUAGAAACAUAAAAACCAUAAAAUAGAGAGGGAAAGAGAAUAAAAACCAUAAAAUAGAGAGAGAGAGUUUGCAGAGUAAAUUUGAUCUGAAAUUAUUUCAUAUUUAUAGGCUAAGUGUGACAAAUUGGCUCCAAGAUUAGUUGUUUUUAAAUUUCAAAUUAUGGUUUGGGCGUCAUUUUUGGAGCAAAAAAAUUUUAAAUUCAAAUUUGGGCUGAAUUGUUGGAGCCAAAACUGCUAACCUUCUUAAACCCAGCGGACAAAACUCAGCAAGAUACUUUGGCUAAACGAUGUUGCUCUUGGAGGGAAACACAUUCCCCUAGGAUUUUAUGCUUUAAUAUAUGUAUAGAUAGAUAUUGAAUUGAUAGGAUUUUCAAAAUAUUUUUGAGAAAAUUAUCUACUGUGAAUAGUAAUUCAUAGACUUUUUGAAAUAUUCUUUAGAAAAUUAUAUUUUACUCCCUCCGUCCCAUAAUAAGUGGCCACAUUUCCUUUUUCGUCUGUCCCACUAUAAGUGGCUGCUUUCUAAAAAUGGAAAUAAUUUAACUGAAUUAAGAUCAUUUAAGUUACUAACUAAACCCUUAAUUAUGUUUAAAAUAAACAUAUACUCACACCCUAUACACACACAUAGAGAGAGCAGCAGCCCUUCUAUCUUCUUCUCUGGCGGGAUGCCACCCCUAUCGCCGCUGCCGCCUCUCCGGCCGCCGCCGCCUUUCGCCCAUAUCGCCGUCGCCGCCUCUCUUCCUCUCUCUCGUUACAGAUCCCGUGAUCUCUCUCUCCCUCCCUCUCACCGUCGUAUCCUUGGGCGAUUUGAGGGAUUCGAAGCUCGCCGCCCAAAUGCGUGAGGUCGUGCACCGAUUUGGGGGCUAGGGCUCGCCUGCGCCGAUUUGGGUGAGGUCGUCGUCCUCCCUCUCUCCCUCUAUUCUCUUUCAGAUCUGGUUUGGGGGCAAGAUCUGGUUUUGAUUUCUGGUUUUUGAGUGGCGGUGGUGGUGGUGAUUGUUGGCGGCGGUGGUGGUUGUUGGCAGAUUGGGAGGGAGACGAGGGGGACAGAGGGAGAAGAGGGUGGCGGCGACUUCGCUGGAGGAAGGGGUGGCUGAUGCCGGCGACUUCGCCGGAGGUGGGUGGCAGUGGAUGAAGAAGAAAGUGAAAAGAAGAAUAAAUUAUUUUAAUUAAUUCAAUAAUUUUGAUGGGCCCCACUCAAUUAAAACAUAACACUUCAUUUCUUAAUCUCCGUGCCAAAAAGAAUGUGGCCACUUAUUAUGGGACGGAGGGAGUACUUUUCUAUUUACACUUCGCUGCUCUGUUGGUCUUCGGCUCGCUGUUGGUCUUCGUUGUUUUGGACGUUUUCUUUGCUCUGCCUUCCUCCGCUUUCCUGUCUUGUUUUGCUUCCUUUUCGCUUGGGUUUGUUGUCUUUUCCUCGCUUUGGGGUUUUUCUGCCUUUUGCCUUGAUUGCGCUUGUGCUCUCAAGGGUUUUUUUUCUUCUUUAAUAAAAUUUCUAUUUCAGCAGUUG